CUUGGUUGAUCAUGCCAGUAGUCAUAUGCUUGUCUCAAAUAUUGAGCCAUGCAUGUGUAAGUAUGAACUAAUUUAGACUAUGAAAUUGUGAAUGGCUUAUUAAAUUAGUUAUAGUUUGUUUGAUGGUAUCUACUACUCAGAUAACCAUAGUAAUUCUAUAGUUGAAGCAUACAACAAACCCCUGCUUUUGGAAGGGAUGCAUUUAUUAGAUAAACGAUCGAUACAGGUUUUGCCAUUUGCUCUAAUGAUUCAUUAUAACUCGACAUAUCACAUGGCUUUUAUGCCAACGAUGCAUCAUUCAAAUUUUUACCCUAUCAACUUUUGAUGGUAGGAUAGUGGCUUAUUAUGGUGGUGAUUGGUGACGGAGAAUUAAGGUUCGAUUUUAGAGAGGGAACCUAAGAAAAGGCUAACAUAUCCAAGGAAGGUAACAGGCAAACAAUUACCCAAUCUUGACACGGAGAGGUUGGAUAAUAAAUAACAAUUCGGGCUCUAUGAGUCUAGUAAUUGAAAUGAAUACAAUCUAAAUCCCUUAAUGAAGAUCCAUUGAAGGGCAAGUCUGGUGCCAGCAGUCACGGUAAUUCUAGCUCUAAUAGCAUAUAAUUAAGUUGUUGCAGUUAAAAAACUCGUAGUUGGAACUAGAGUUGGGUCGUCUAGUCCACCUCACAGUGAGCACUAGUCUACUUGUCCUUAUAACCAAUGAUAUGCUCCUAACCUUAACUAGCCAGUUCAUUCCUCUAGCGAUGUUAUUUUGAAAAAAUUAGAGUGCUCAAAGUAGGCCUCUAUGUUGUAUAUACAUUAGCAUAGGAUAACAUCAUAGGAUUUUGGUGCUAUUGUGUUGGCCUUUAGGAUCGGAGUAAUGAUUAAUAGGGACAGUUAUGGGCAUUCGUAUUUUAUAGUCAAAGGUGAAAUUCUUGGAUUUUUGAAAGAUGAACAACUAUAAAACAUUUGCUAAAAAUGUUUUCAUUAAUCAAGAAUGAAAGUUGGGGGCUCAAAGUUGAUCAAAUACCAUCCUAGUCUUAACUAUAGAUGAUGUCGACCAGGGAUCAACGAAUGUUACUUUUAGGACUCCGUCGACACCUUAUGAAAAAUCAAAGUUUUUAGAUUCAAGGGGGAGUAUGGUUGCAAGGCUGAAACUUAAAGGAAUUGAUGGAAAGGCACCACUAGGAGCGGAGCUUGUAGUUUAAUUUGACUCAACACAAGAAAACUUAUCAGUUCCAGACAUAGUAAGGAUUAACAUACUGAAAGCUCUUUCUUGAUUCCAUAAGUGGUGGUGUAUGGUCGUUCUUAGUUGGUAGAGCGACUUGUCUGCUUAAUUUUAUUAACGAAUGAGACCUCAGCCUAUUAACUAGCUACGAGGAGAUAAUCUUUCAUGGCUAGCUUCUUAAAGGGACUAUGGCUACUUAAAGCAAGAAAGUUUGAAGUAAUAAUAGGUCUAUGAUGCCUUUAGAUGUUUUGGGCUACACGAGUGCUACACUGAUGUAUUCAACGAGUCUAUAGCCUUGGUUGAUAGGCCCAGGUAAUCUUUGAAAUUUUAUCAUAAUAGGCAUAGAUCAUUGCAAUUGUUGGUCUUCAACAAGAAAUUCCUAGUAAGUGUGAGUCAUCAGCUUACGUUGACUAAAUCUCUGCCCUUUGUAAAAAGGCACUGUAGAGGGUGAGAGCCUUGUUAUGCCUGGACCCUAUUGCACCAUGAGGCACUGUCUAUGAGUCGAGUUUUUUUUGGGAAUACAGCCCCAAUCGGAUAGUAAAUUUAUCCAAGGUUGAAUACGAGCGAGAGAUCGAUAGCAAACAAGUUCCGUA
rnacentral:rRNA from 1 species